ACGGAAGGCAGCAGUGGGUGAUAUUGCACAAUGGGGGAAACCCUGAUGCAGCGACGCCGCGUGAGCGAAGAAGUGCUUCGGCAUGUAAAGCUCUAUCAGCAGGGAAGAAAAUGACGGUACCUGACUAAGAAGCCCCGGCUAACUACGUGCCAGCAGCCGCGGUAAUACGUAGGGGGCAAGCGUUAUCCGGAUUCACUGGGUGUAAAGGGAGCGUAGGUGGUACGGCAAGUCAGAAGUGAAAUGCGGGGGCUCAACCCCUGAACUGCUUUUGAAACUGUCGGACUAGAGUGCUGGAGAGGUAAGUGGAAUUCCUAGUGUAGCGGUGAAAUGCGUAGAUAUUAGGAGGAACACCAGUGGCGAAGGCGGCUUACUGGACAGUAACUGACACUGAGGCUCGAAAGCGUGGGGAGCAAACAGGAUUAGAUACCCUGGUA
rnacentral:rRNA from 1 species